UGUUCACAGGUGGGACCAGGAGGGGCUAGGGCCCGUGAGGGCAUGGGCAGCACUUCCCUGACACCCUUAGAGCUGUCCAGGAGCGGGUCCUGAGAACCCUGGUUCUGUCCCCUCCACAGUGUAGUGGGGGAAGGAGGAACACAGGCCCACACCAUAAAGCUCCCCCAGCCCCUCUUGUUCUGAGUGGUUUCUUCAGGUUGUGGUUGGACUGUAAUCGUGGUUGGAGGCUGGAAGAACCAGGUGUAUGUUCAUCAUGGCUCAGGAUCAGGAUAGCAUAUGCCAGUUUAUUUAUUCUACUACAGUCAUGGCAGUGGGGCUUGAGAGACUUGCUUGCUCUGCCUACCUGGGGUAGGGUAAAGGUGGGGCCGCCCAAGGAGGCCAUCCCCUUCCUCUGGCUGUGGGAUGGAGAGGAAGGGAAUGGAGUGGGAGAAACAGGAAAGAUCAGACAGAUGCUGAAAGAGAACAAGACACAGACACAGAACUGCAAGCGAUUCCCUCCUGUCCUCAACCAUCUCAGGUGUGUGCUAUGCUGCUGGGGUGGGGAGGCUCACAGCCCCCGUCUCUGGGGAAUUUGGGUCUUAGGGACGUAGGAACCAAGUCCUAAUAUCUCUCCCUACUCCCACGAUAACCUCCACCACCCCCUCCCUCCUCGCAGCCGAUCCUGCAGAGCACCCCCCACCUCCCCCUCCAGAGCCCGCCCUGUGGAGGGCGCGGGUGGGAGCGAGCUAUGCACCCGUCACUGGGAUCGUCGGGGUACAGGGAGAGAGAGGGCGCUUUCUAGGGUCCCCCUCCCUUUUCUUCGCGCUGAUACUUCCGCCGCCCCCUACUCUGACAAGCGCGGCUGUAAUUAGGCUGCGGGGUCCCGGGCUCUCCGCCUCCCUCCGGCGGAUAAUGAGAUAAAGUGUCAGAGACACGGCGAGAACAAAGAGACAGAGACUCGCUGCGAUGUGUGUGGGGGGCGGGGGAGCGGGGCUGACGGGCUGUCAGAGUCUCCAGCAGCCCAGCCCUCCCAGAGAGCCCGCACCUCCAGGGCCCAGGAAGGGAGGGCGUGUCCUGUCACCCGCGCCCCCCAGCCCUCCAGUCUCUGGGACCAAAAAGCAAUCCCAGGGUUCAAACUUGAGCGGCCGCACAGCUGGGCUGCACAUCUGGUUCUCUGUGGCACAGCUGGGGAGCCAGGACGCCGGAAGGGGCGCCUGGUCCUUGCGCCUUUGCUCACGGGCCCUCGCCUGCUUCCUUGUGCCCCUUGUUCUGAGUUCCGGUGACCCCGGCCAGGUCCCAAAUUCUCUGUCGCGCUGCUUUUCCAGAGCCGCCGCUGUCCCUCCGGCCUUGGGCCUCCGCCCCGCUCACCGAGAUGCAACGUUAUAUUAUUGCCUCCGCUCCGCCUCUCCGCCACUCUUUGACCCUUCUCCUGCUUCUGGUCCCUGUCUCUGUGAAUUUACUUCUAAGCCCCCUUUCAUCUUUGGUUCCAGUCUCUGGCUCUUGGCCCAUGGGGCCGAUCUGGAACACAGGACUCCUUGGGUUCCGGAUCCCAUCUCCCCUCGCUCCCCACACUUUCCCACCACGAGGACUCAGGCCACGCUGGCCCAGUGGAGUGAGGGACCGCAGAAGUCAUUAGCCGCAGAUUAGGCGCGGCCCGGGAUCCCGCUGGGACUGGACUCCAAGCGCUAACCCGCACCAGGAUCCCAGUCCGCGCUCUGGCUGCACAGCGGAUCAAAGGCAGCGGGACUCAGCGGAUCGAGCGUGUUGGAGGGGCCGUGGGCUCGGGCGCCCCCUGGAGGCCGAGCGUCCCCCAAGCUCGGGGAAGAGGCCUUGGGCACCCCCUGUCGGGCAGUGCCGACCCUGCACUCCCGGCAUUCGGGCCGCUAAGUUGGUGCCUAGAGUGUCCGUCCACGCCCAACCCGUCACUCCGCCACUCCCGCCGCCAAGACAGUGGGUCCCGCAGCCUCCACUCUUCUGGUGUGAGAUGGGACCGGAGGGCGGAGAGUGGACGCGGAAGCUCCUAUCUCGCCAGCCACAAUCGGCACCCAGGGUUCAGGCGGGUUCCUCUUCUGGGGUUGGGCAGCCUCAGAUGCCUGGGGGCCGGGGAGGCGGGGGCUUCAUCUCUGCUUCUGGGCUGCAGAUUCGAGAUUGCCCUAAGCCCUCUGACCUGGCCUGUCCUAGCCUCUGUCUGCCCUUCUUUCUGCCUCUUGUUCGGGCGGUCUGUCUGCUUCCUGUCUCUGGCUCUAUUCCUAUUCUCUGGGUUGCUGCCUCUGGGGACUGCAGCAGCCCAACAGGGCAGCCCGGGGACGCCUCAGGGCACUGCCCGGGGUCCUCCUCCUCAGUGCCCGGGGUCCUCCUCCUGGUCACCUCCACGCAGCGUUGGUCUUCCCGCUGCGGCUGUGGGACGUGGAGGGGCGCCCGGGAGGGAAGACACAGGGCCCAGCAUAUCUGCUCGGGAGCCCCGGGGCCCCUGACCCCCUCUGCCAUUAUUAAGGGCGCCGGGUCCCGAGGCACCGAGAUGAUCAUGAUUGCAUCAGCCAGACAGAAGCGGAGCCGGGAGCUGCGCGGUGAGCGAACGAGUGAGACAAAGACGCCCGCGCCAUCUGUUUAUGCAAAGCGCUCUCCGCCGGGGACCCCGGCGUCCCGGCUCCUGGCCGGGCUUGGGGCAAGGGUCAUAAGCCCAUUCCCACCCGGCGCCCCCACCGCGCCUUGGCUUCCCCUCUCCUCAGCACUCAGAGGGGCCGCGGGGCGAGCGGAACGGAGAGGGGGUGGGGGUGUUGAUGUGAUUGGAGCGGACGCGGCUGUUUCUUCAAUAAUGGAUGGAGAUGAUGCGGACGGCGAAGCCGAGCUGGCCGGGAGAGGAGAGAGGAAUAGAAAUGGGGAAAGGAAGGAGUGGGGGCGGGAGACUCACCCAGGCGCGCGCGCACACACACGCGCGCGCGCACGUGCGUCACACUGUCAUUCGGAUACACGCCGCCGCGCGGCUCACACCCAGGCGCACGCCUACGCACUGUCACCGAGACACACAUACCUGCAGGCGGAGACGCGAUAGCAACACACACUCCCCGCUGGCUCUUCCUGAUUUUCACACAUACACAGACCUGCAGGCGGAGACUCACGGAAACGCCCCCACGCGGAGGCACACCCGGGCAAAAUCUCCCAGAUGGGAGCUGGGGACGGGGAAGUGGACAAACCCGACAGAUAUAGACACACUCAGGGGCACAGACACACACUCGGGCACAGAGUCGGACACACCUGGGGCUCAGGUAGACACACCUCACAUACCCAGGGAACAAACGGACACACAAACCACACGCCGGGGAUACAGACGUCCAUAAUUGCCAGGGGCACGGAGAGACCACCCACACCCACUCAGAGGCUAGCACACCUUAGCAUAUGCAAGAGUUGCCAUCUGUGCCCUGCGGGGUGGAAUGUGGCAGGGAAGUCAUCAGGGUCUCCGGAGCAGGCCUUGUUAGCCUAGCAGUAUAAUGAGGUCUUGGUGACAGGAGGCGCCUGGGGCUGUGGACUAGGAGGCCCGUGCACCAGGGCUUAGCUGCCUGCAAGCUUCCUUGACUGGCCCCUAGGGCGGGUGGUGCCGACGUUGGGCCGCCCCUGAGCAGCAGACCCGGCGGACCCCACUGACUCAAAUCGGGCAGUUUGGUGGAGGGAGAGCCUAAAGGGAACACUGGAGCUGCACCAGGAGAUUCUCAGGAUCCCCAACACUGCUUCUGGUGGGGUUUAUAGAGAGGGUCACUCUGUACUCUGCCUUUUCCCCCCGUGCUGCUCAGUCUUCCAACUUCAAGGGGCACGUGUGUGUGUGUGUGUGUGUGUGUGUGUGUGUGUGUGUGCGCGCGCGCGCGCGCUGAGUGGAGUGGGCAGUGGAAGAGGUUGGGGUGCGGGUUGUCUUGUACCCCAGUACCGGCCCUUCCUCGGAUCUGUUUUCAAUUCAGUCUGCUCCUUGGCCCAGACUUAUGACCUUUGCAGCGUGCGGCAGUAUCAUCCAUCACCCGGGCGCCGCUUACGGGAUGGAGGGCGCUGGGAGCUCACAUAGGGUGGCUGUCACGCCUGCCGCCCUCUCUGGGGACCUGCUCUCCGGCCCGCGGGCCAGGGCUUAACAGUCUUGCAGCAGAUGGUGCCCGGGCUCCCGCUGCCAACCUUGCUAGGCGGUGCCAACCUCAGUCCUGGCAGACAACGGGCAGACGAGAAGAGGAGCUCCUGGCUGGCCAAGCCGACCCUCCCCCACCCGGCAUCGAGCUCAAGACCCCCCACACACGCCUGCCCCACUCCAGCGACCACCCCAGCCUGCCUCUCACUGGGUCCGCUCUCAGGUCCCCAAACUCCUCGUCUCCUUCUGCUCCCUUCCCCACACCUUCCCGCUCCUCGCCACCUGCCGCCCUGACCAGGGCCGGCGUAUUUGCAUAUUUGCAUAUGCAAAUAAUAACAUUUGCAUAGGGCGCUCCGCAGGGGUGUCUCCACGAGAGCCGGUUAGCUGUCUGCCCUCCGUCCUCACUCGGUACCUGUCGGAAAGGGUUAGGGCAGGGGCCGCGCGGGUGGGGUUAGGCCCCCGGCCUAGCUAGCUCGGUUCUCGGAGGACUUGAGGAAGUGUUGCCAUGGAGACGGCACGCACCCCACCCCCUCCCAGGCCCAGGGUCUCGGGCUUGGUGUCUCUGGUUCUCUCCCCUUACCCACCCUCCACCCCCUCCCCAUCCCUCGCUCUCCAACCGAGAUCUUGCAUCGCCCCCUGGCGGCCUAGCUCGGCACCAAGCCAGAUUCCGAAAUGCAAGGGGCUGCCUGUGGCUAAAUCGCCAAGAGCAAGGGGGAACUUACCCUACUACAAGAUCCUGCUCCCAAUCGCUGGGGCGCGGGGGCGGUGACUCCAGCCCCGCCCUCCCCUUUCUUUACUGACUACAGAGGCCUCACCUGGCGGGCGGACUUCCCACCUCCCGCCAACCUCAGCCCAGAUGGGUCUCAGGUUACCCAAUGGUAACGAGGCGGGACAGCUAGGGAGGAUUCUCCACCCCUCCGCAGGCCCUCUUCUCAACCCCAGUUAAAUAACAACUUUUCUAAGUUUUGUCAAAAGUUUAAUAAAUUUGCAACAUUC